UUGAAAGUCGUAGAAAUCGGGUCAAGAUUUUAAAAUAGCCUCCAGAAAUUUAAAUUGCUUGCAUAAUUUUACUUUUCUUAUUGCUGAGAUUUGAUUUACUCGGGACUAGUAUAGAAAAAUUGGGAAUUUCCAGGCACUAGAGAUAACACACACCCAGGCAAAGAUAAUGCGAAUUGUUUGCUCACAAAUAAACAUCAUUUAAGCGGAAUGGAACGUAUUGUCACAUCACGAAGGUGGGAUAUUUCAGGUUAUUCCGAGCUAAACAAUUAUUUUCGAAAUUCAAUUAAUUUGUACAUCCUUUUUCAUGGAGAGUCCACAGUUUAAAUUGUUUUAUCUCUGAUAUAAUCAGCUACUUAUGCAACUAACUAUUUAAUCGAAUACAUAUCCUAUGAGCUCACCCUGGAAUAAUUGUACAAUACACGAUGCAGGGGGAUACACAAAUCGGAAGCGAUUUCAAUGGCAAUGCCGUGUUAUUGAAACCACCGCAGUCAAUGGCCCGGCUCGUUCCUAAUGAUAGAUGCGCCAGUCUCGCAUACGUAUUCGAUACCCGCAGUAUUUAUGGACAUUUGUCAACAUCCAGAUGCUUGUUUGAUGCAAAUACGAACAGACUUGUUGGGCAAAUGCAUAUAGAGCUGAGAAAUCCCUCUAAGAACGAAACAUGUCUUGGCACAGAACAAAAGACACAAAUAUUUAUACAAUUGCUAAUUAAUGUUAAUGAAAUGCACGAAUCCCGCACCCGAGACGAGCAGGUAUUCCAAAGCAAAACUCCACUAAAUGGGUAACAAAAUCGAACCAAAAACAAUAACCAGAAUAUAAGCUAAUCUCUCAAUAUGAUACAAUUCCGGCUUAAAUAUAUUUGACUCACCCUGCGCCUGAAUAAGAGCAACCAGUCCCAGGCACAAUAAAGCACCAAACACCAAAGUGCAGCACAAUUUGUUGGCAGCCAUUAUUAGCAGUUUUUAUUGUCCGAAAAAGAUUUGUUUAAACCGGAUAGCACAAUAAAGUGUAUCUCUGUGAUUUUAUUUUAGCAACCGAACGAACGCUUUCGCGCUUAACGGACAAGUGAGCUUGCUGCGGGCCGUGCUUCACAGUUUUGUUGAGCAAAAGCUUACUGAAAGCUUCCGAACGAAAGACUCACGCUGAGAACUGGGCAGAGAGAACUGCUCAUCAGAAAGAGAGACACACAGAUGCUAUGGUAAAUGUUUGUGAAUACACUAUUUAAGAGAGUUUAUAAAUUUUUAGUUGCUUCGCUUUUGCUUGGAUUUAUUCAAAAUAGUAAGAAUCUCAGUUUAGAUCUUGUUGAAGGCAGCAAUAUCGACGGACUGCACAAAGUCCUCGAACGCCUCAAUCUUCUCCUGCAGAAGAUCGAUGGACACCUUCUCGUCCUCAAUGACGCACAUGAUCUGCAGCUUUUGGAUGCCAUAGCCGACGGGCACCAAUUUGGAUGCGCC